AAAGUAUCUGUUCAUUUCACGUAUUUUGUCAGUUUUCAUUUUUUGCUGCAUACGUGUUCAUACCGACGUGUAUCGUUAACUAUAAAAAAUGAGGUCUGUUCCUAUUUUCGGUUUACUAAUUGGCUUGAUGGCUUUUGGAGGCGAUAUCAUCACCAACGCGUUGAAAGUUAAUACUAUCAUAUUGCCCCAACCGGAUUGCUCACAAUGUGUAAUAGGUUGUUCGGCUGAUAAAUGCCCUUGCGUAUUCCCGGGUACAAGCGAACUAAUUUACCCACGACAGACACCAGUGCCGGUUACAGUUACACCAGCAAAUUGUCAAUAUUGUCCGCAGCCUCUAUGUAAAUGUGGUUUCGACGUAUGCACACCGGAUGUAAUACGACAAUGGAUCGGAUAAAGUUAUUCGGAUUUGUUGUCGAAAUAAAUUUUGCAUUUGGG